UACGUAGGGGGCAAGCGUUACCCGGAUUUACUGGGCGUAAAGAGCGUGUAGGCGGCCACACAGGUCCGCUGUGAAAACUCGAGGCUCAACCUCGAGCUGUCGGUGGAAACCGUGUGGCUAGAGUCCGGAAGAGGAGAGUGGAAUUCCCGGUGUAGCGGUGAAAUGCGCAGAUAUCGGGAAGAACACCCGUGGCGAAGGCGGCUCUCUGGGACGGUACUGACGCUGAGACGCGAAAGCGUGGGGAGCGAACAGG
rnacentral:rRNA from 1 species